UAAGGAAUAUUGGUCAAUGGACGAAAGUCUGAACCAGCCAUGCCGCGUGGAGGAUGAAGGCCCUCUGGGUUGUAAACUUCUUUUAUUUGGGACGAAACACUCUUUUUCUAAAGAGCUUGACGGUACCAGAUGAAUAAGCACCGGCUAACUCCGUGCCAGCAGCCGCGGUAAUACGGAGGGUGCAAGCGUUAUCCGGAUUCACUGGGUUUAAAGGGUGCGUAGGCGGAUUUGUAAGUCCGUGGUGAAAUCUCUAAGCUUAACUUGGAAAUUGCCGUGGAUACUAUAAGUCUUGAAUAUUGUGGAGGUUAGCGGAAUAUGUCAUGUAGCGGUGAAAUGCAUAGAUAUGACAUAGAACACCAAUUGCGAAGGCAGCUGGCUACACAACUAUUGACGCUGAGGCACGAAAGCGUGGGGAUCAAACA
rnacentral:rRNA from 1 species